CAGAAUGCAUGUUCUUUACAAGUUCACAUGGAACAUUAACUAAGAGAAACCAUAUACUAGUCAUAAAAUAAGUCCUAGCAAAUUUUAAAAUAUUGAAAUCAUAGUUUUUCCUCUGACCAUAAUGAAAUUGAAUUAGAAACCAGUAACAGCAAGUUGGGAAAUUUCCAGAUACUUAGGAAUUAAACAGGAGACUUCCGGAGGCGGGGCUACCAGCAGCAGCAGAUCUGUUUCUCUCCUCUCUCCUCUCCCGGAUCAACUAGGAAUACCAAAGGAGACCACCUGGGACUGAAACAAGACAGGACUAGAACCACUACAGGAACCCACCAAAUCACCGCAGUGUUUAUGGAUCACCUGAUCUGAUUACUGAGAUUUCAGCCACCAAGUUGCAGAUGCUAGUAUGAUUCCAUCCUGAUCUCCUUGGGCAGAAGACCUCACCAAUGUGUCCUGGAACCUCAGCUCUCCAGAGCCCUACCCAACUAGGGAAAGAUAGAAACAAGCUGGGGUUAUGGGUCAACCUGCCAAUGUCCAUGUCCAGUGGAGAAGAAAUGAUUAGAUGCCAGACCUUCCACCUUCUGCACUCCAUAAAGAAUUUUGGUCCAUACUCCCAGAGGAGGAGAAAUAUUAGGGGAACUCUAAUUCCAUCAGGACCCAGAGAAAAAAUGGAGGACAUUCAGAAGUACCAACAUGUGGAGGUAUGACUUAGAAAGGAAGGGAGGUCAAGACCAUAGAAAAAGUGGGCUUUUUCAGCCACCAUGUUCCAGAUGUUAACAUGAUGCCAAACGAACUUUCCUAGGUAGGCGACCCCACCAAUGUGUCCUGGAGUCCUGAUUCCCUAGAGCUCCACCCCACUAGGGAAAGAGAGAGACAGGCUGGGAGUAUGGAUCGACCUGCCAACGCCCAUGGUCAAUGGGGAAAAAAUUACAGAAGCCAGACCUUCCACCUUCUGCAUCCCAUAAUGACCCUGGGUCUAUACUCCCAAAGGGGUAAAGGAUAGGAAAGCUAUCUGGAGGGGAUGGGAUACAGAGUUCUGGUGGUGGGAAUUGUGUGGAGUUGUACCCCUCUUAUCUUAUGGUUUUUGUCAGUGUUUACUUUUUAUAAAUAAAAAAAAGAAAAGUGGGCAAAGAUAUCAGCCUAUAUCUGUGAUCUUGGGAGGACAACUUUAGAGUACAAUGGAGGAAAUGGGGACACAACUCUGGCUAAUAUUGGUUUUGUAAAUCAAUAUUAAAUUACU